GGAGCGGCGAGGCGAAAGUUUGCUUAGGCAAACGCGCUCAGGCGGCAGCGCAGCAGAGGAGCGCGAGCAGCGUCCAGCGGCGCGCAGCGCAGCGCGGGGCCCCCCGCGGCGCCCGGCGGGAGCGAGGAAAACCCCAGAGUGGUUUCGAAGUGCCGCACGCAGAAGACGAAGACAAAGACAGCAUUUUUGCACCAGCCUCGGUGCAAGCGUUCCUACAGAUCCUGCCUGCUGAAGUCACCAAGGGCCUUCAAUGUAAUGACAUGAAGCAGAGCUGAACACUGAUCUCCAGAGGGCCCCUACUUCGGAUCAACUCAUUAUCCCGAAUAAACGAUGUGUCAUUCCCAUUAUUUAUGUUUCACUGCAGCCAAAGUAUCUGGACCUCGUUUUGGUGGUCUGGUGGGAUAGCUGAGUGGACCUACCAGAUGGAAUAAUAAAGCUUGAAAGCAGAACUGAGAUCCUUUUCUCCACUUGUAAAAGCUAAGUGCUUUAGUCAGUAAAAAUAAGGGAAGAAAAAUUAGGACUCUGGACACCUUUCUGAAAUGCUAGGGAAGAGGUAUUCUUGUUUGGGUGAGUGACUCCAAGUGUGUGUUUUAUGUCAUUGCCACAGAGAAGUAUCACAGCAUGGCUUGUGGUAACAGUGAGGAGAAAAAGACCAGCUGGUUGGCGCAUUUCAGGUAGGGAGUGAUAGGUUCACAAGGUAACUUCAAAAUAGAGGGCAAGAAGUCAAAGGCGAUCAGAAGAUCUCAGUGUAACAGGGCAAUGCACAGGAGCCAUCAGCUAGAAUUACCAUCCCAAAGAUAGCUCCUUGGAAAGCUGAGACUAAACCUCGGAGGUUUUAUGCUUUCCAAAUGCAGGCUGGUUACAAGAGCCCACUGCAAGCAACUCUGACCCAGCUGGUUGCAAGGUCCCUUAUUCUUAUUAUGGACCAGCUGCUAGAAGAUGACAUGCCUGUACACACGCACGUAGACACACAAACACAUAGGUGUGCACGCACACACAAGCAUGUGUACUUUGACCUCCAACGAUGAUGUAAAAGUGACCUAUGCCUGCAGGAUUUAUGUUGAAACUGGCAUAUCUUCAUCAUUAGCCACAGCUUUGGAUCAAAGGGGCCGUUUCACCUUUCCACUCUCUUCUGUCGAGUCUCCUUUCUGUCCUGAGGUUUUAGAGAUAUGAUAAACAGAAGUGAACCACAUACAGUAAAAUGAUAACCCAGAUUACAGAGUUAAUUCUGUAUUCAUUCCAUGUGUAGGUAUUAGUGAAGGAGAAGACACAUUUAUUAUACACCAGGGAAGGACCAGAACUGGCAAACAAUAAAUGGGCAGUGUAAGUGGAAGGAGCUUUAAUGAGCUGCAGUGUAAAUGGAAUGAUCCCUUAAGGUUAAUUCUUGAGAGGCAGGGGAGGAAGCAUGGACAUGGGGGUCAUGAGUUCCUACCUUCGAGAGAAGAGAGACCUUCUGGGAGGCUUUCUUCCCAGAUACAAUGAGAACCACAGCAAGAAAUGCUCAGGGAGAAGACUGAUAUAACCUUGAUUUUUGUGACAGCAAAGCCACGAGAAUUUCUGUGGGUUGGAAUCUUUUCUGAUCCAGCAAGAAGCUGACAAUUCCUGAGGUGUGCUGAGCCUUGCUGUUACUCACUGAUGUCAACCACAGCUCGGGAUGCUCAGCAGGACCCAAGAAUGAUCUGCAGGUUGAAAACACAAGCCAUGAAAUGUUUCCAUUGAAUUGGUGAUCACAGUUUGCAGUGUUGUGCGUAAUAAAUGUGUCCAGACAUGUUGCUGAUUUGUAUUUGUUCUGUGUGUAUAUCAGAUAAAGCCCAACAGAUUAAAAGUCAUCCGAGAAGAUUUUUAUCCUCCUACUGUGUUUUCCUCUCUCUGUCAUAUCAUUAAGAAGGCUCUACCUUGAUAGUUACAAUGCUGUGUAGUUCAAAUUUCUUUAGAACAAAGUUGUAUAACAGUUUUCAUGCAUUAAAUAGCC